UGGGAUUUAGCUCAGUGGUAGAGCGCUUGCCUAGCAAGCACAAGGCCCUGGGUUCGGUCCCCAGCUCAA
rnacentral:tRNA from 1 species